rnacentral:rRNA from 1 species
GCCUGGGAAACUGGGUCUAAUACCGGAACGGACCAUCUCUGCAUGGGGUGUUGGUGGAAAGCGUUAUGGAGUGGUUUAGAUGGGCUCAGGCUAUCAGCUUGUGGUGAGGUAAUGGCUUACCAAGCGACGACGGGUACCGGCCUGAGAGGUGACCGCCACACUGGGACUGAGACACGGCCCAGACUCCUACGGGAGGCAGCAGUGGGGAAUAUCACAAUGGCGCAAGCCUGAUGCAGCGACGCCGCGUGAGGGAUGACGGCCUCCCGGGUUGUAAACCUCUGUGCAUCGAAGAAGCGAAGUGACGGUAGGUGCAGA